GACGAAGGGGGCUAGCGUUGUUCGGAAUUACUGGGCGUAAAGCGCGUGUAGGCGGUUGUCCAAGUUGGAUGUGAAAGCCUUGAGCUUAACUCAAGAAAUGCAUUCAGGACUGGAUGACUAGAGGACCGGAGAGGAUAGUGGAAUUCCCAGUGUAGUGGUGAAAUACGUAGAGAUUGGGAAGAACACCAGUGGCGAAGGCGGCUAUCUGGACCGGUUCUGACGCUGAGGCGCGAAAGCGUGGGUAGCAAACAGG
rnacentral:rRNA from 1 species